rnacentral:lncRNA from 1 species
GUUUGUUUAUAGGUUUAUGGUGAAUGGAAACAUAAAUAUAGACUUUUUAAAAAAUCUUGCAUCUUUUGGGGAUAUCAUUCCAGGAAAGUGGAAGGAUAUCAUGUUUACUUGAAGUGGUGAGGUCUAGUAAAAAUAGCAAACAGAAAGUAGAAAAAAAUGAGUUGACUUCAGGAUUGCGUAACGUUUUAUUCUUCGUGGCAAGACCCCCUUUUUUCAAUUAAAUCACAAUUUCACUUUGGUACAUCCAUGAUAUGAACAUGAA